rnacentral:rRNA from 1 species
CCUACGGGGGGCUGCAGUGAGGAAUAUUGGUCAAUGGGCGCGAGCCUGAACCAGCCAAGUAGCGUGAAGGAUGACUGCCCUACGGGUUGUAAACUUCUUUUAUAAAGGAAUAAAGUGAGGCACGUGUGCCUUUUUGUAUGUAUUUUAUGAAUAAGGAUCGGCUAACUCCGUGCCAGCAGCCGCGGUAAUACGGAGGAUCCGAGCGUUAUCCGGAUUUAUUGGGUUUAAAGGGAGCGUAGAUGGGUUGUUAAGCCGGCGGUAAAAAUUCAGGGCUCAACCCUGUCGAGCCGUCGGAACUGGCAGUCUUGAGUGGGCGAGAAGUAUGCGGAAUGUGUGGUGUAGCGGUGAAAUGCAUAGAUAUCACACAGAACACCGAUUGCGAAGGCAUCUCACGAAUCCGCGAUUGACGCUGAUGCACGAAAGCGUGGGUAUCAAACAGGAUUAGAUACCCCAGUAGUC